CAAUAGCGUAUAUUAAAGUUGUUGCGGUUAAAAAGCUCGUAGUUGGAUUUCUGCCGAGGACGACCGGUCCGCCCUCUGGGUGUGUAUCUGGUUUGGCCUGGGCAUCUUCUUGGAGAACGUAGCUGCACUUGACUGUGUGGUGCGGUGUCCAGGACUUUUACUUUGAGGAAAUUAGAGUGUUCAAAGCAGGCUUAUGCCGUUGAAUAUAUUAGCAUGGAAUAAUAAGAUAGGACUUCGGUACUAUUUUGUUGGUUUGCGCACCAAAGUAAUGAUUAAUAGGGACAGUUGGGGGUAUUCGUAUUCCGUUGUCAGAGGUGAAAUUCUUGGAUUUACGGAAGACGAACAACUGCGAAAGCAUUUGCCAAGGAUGUUUUCAUUAA
rnacentral:rRNA from 1 species